rnacentral:sRNA from 1 species
AAUUAAAUCAAAUAAUAAUUUAGAUUGAAGGGAAUUAAUUUAUUAAAUGGUUUAGAUUGAAUCGGAUCAUAUAAAGUUUAGGAGAUUGUUAAGACCAAAUUACCCUUAAUGAUUUUGAAUAGCAAAGAACAAAAUCCAAAAUUGAAAUUAAAAUUGAGGCCAAAUUAGACAAAAUUUCAAUUUGUACUUCCCUUUUAAUAAUAAGGGGAUGAGCGACCGAUUUAAGUGCUCACUAUUUAGUCGCAAUGUCGUCGCUAAGUAUAGUGAUUGUUAUGCGAUAUCUUUGCCACAACAUGACAAUUGUUUUGUGAACGUUUUGGUGAAUGAGUUGCUACUACUUUGUGACUGAUUAGAGGUUUAAUUCUUGAUUUAGCCUCUAAUUUAUCAUCAACAGACUUGUUUUU